GUUUGCACUACUGGAAGCAAAAGCACAGAGGAAUCAACACCAUCUUCAACUGGUGGGACAGGUUUCCUUGCUGUGCUCCUCUGAUGGAUGUGCAAGAUCAAGGAAUAUUCGGCAGGAGGGCGAGAGGGAGAGAAGUCUACCGGGGAGAUGUACAUUACUAGAAAUAGCUUCGAGAAAUGCUGGCAAUGUGAAGAGAGUGAACCAUGGAGCUGACCCUUUACAAUGAAAGUAGAAGCUUCAGGGCUGUUCACUGAGGCGGAGAGACACCUGACCUCUGAGGCUAUUUCCCUACGAGAAUGAGACACAAGCCAGAAUAAACACUCAGCAAAGAUGACACGACCCAGGUUUUCUCACGCAAGCUGUGUCUUGCCUCAACAGAGCUUACCUCUUCCCCACCACUUCCUUAAGGAAUGGAAGAGUAAAGAGAAGAUGAAAUACUGUGUCCUCAAGCAGAAACUAAGAGUGGAAAUGAAACUGGAUUUGCACACGGAGGAAAGAAGUUCCUGUCGUGGCAAAUCCGACUAGGAACCAUGAGGCUGC